CUUAUCUCUCCUGCUGCAUAACCAGGCUUAUCAAUGUCCUUGAAAGGUGAUUCCUUGAAUAGUUUGUGGAUUGCCAUUCGCCCCUUAGGCUCAGUGUUGUGGCAACUCCCCAGCUCUGGACCAGUAUCGUUGGAGGGCAGUGAGGGUGCGUUUGUGCGCUCUUGGCAACGCAAAGUCCGGUGCAGGGGUGACUCCCAAGCUGGUGAGUAAUGGUCCCGCGUCCGUUU